GGCGGACGGGUGAGUAACACGUGGGCAACCUGCCUUAUAGAGGGGAAUAGCCUUCCGAAAGGAAGAUUAAUACCGCAUAAUAUUGCACUUUCGCAUGAAAGAGUAAUUAAAGGAGCAAUCCGCUAUAAGAUGGGCCCGCGGCGCAUUAGCUAGUUGGUGAGGUAACGGCUCACCAAGGCGACGAUGCGUAGCCGACCUGAGAGGGUGAUCGGCCACAUUGGGACUGAGACACGGCCCAGACUCCUACGGGAGGCAGCAGUGGGGAAUAUUGCACAAUGGGGGAAACCCUGAUGCAGCAACGCCGCGUGAGUGAUGAAGGUCUUCGGAUCGUAAAGCUCUGUCUUCAGGGACGAUAAUGACGGUACCUGAGGAGGAAGCCACGGCUAACUACGUGCCAGCAGCCGCGGUAAUACGUAGGUGGCGAGCGUUGUCCGGAUUUACUGGGCGUAAA
rnacentral:rRNA from 1 species